UACGUAGGGUGCAAGCGUUUGUCCGGAAUUAUUGGGCGUAAAGAGCUCGUAGGCGGCUUGUCACGUCGACUGUGAAAACCCGGGGCUCAACUCCGGGCCUGCAGUCGAUACGGGCUGGCUUGAGUGCGGUAGGGGAGACUGGAAUUCCUGGUGUAGCGGUGAAAUGCGCAGAUAUCAGGAGGAACACCGGUGGCGAAGGCGGGUCUCUGGGCCGAUGACUGACGCUGAGGAGCGAAAGCGUGGGGAGCGAACAGG
rnacentral:rRNA from 1 species